AUCUAGAAAGCUGAGGCUGUCUCUGAUUCUGCUGUGGCUCCGUCCCUUGUGGAAGGACGGGAGGGCAGGACGAGGGGACAGAUCAGCAAGAUUCUUGGACAUGGUUUUUAUUCCCUGAAGAAUGUGCUUGGGUCCAUUCCAGCAUUCGCUCUGAAAUCAGAUGUGCAGUUAAGAGUUAAGGAAAACCUUCAAGGGAGCCAGGCCAAAAGAUGUGGGCACUGUUUUUGGCUCAACCGGAGAACCUGUCCUCUUCAGCUAGAGAAGGCGGAGGCCCAGGGCAGAGGUCUGUG